rnacentral:rRNA from 1 species
UCUGUUUGAUCCUGGCUCAGGACGAACGCUGGCGGCGUGCCUAACACAUGCAAGUCGAGCGAGAGACUUCGGUCUCUAGCGGCGGACGGGUGAGUAACACGUGGGUAACCUGCCUCAUAGAGGGGGAUAGCCUCCCGAAAGGGAGAUUAAUACCGCAUAACAUGAGUUAAUCGCAUGAUUAAUUCAUUAAAGGAGUAAUCCGCUAUGAGAUGGACCCGCGGCGCAUUAGCUAGUUGGAGAGGUAAAGGCUCACCAAGGCGACGAUGCGUAGCCGACCUGAGAGGGUGAUCGGCCACAUUGGAACUGAGACACGGUCCAGACUCCUACGGGAGGCAGCAGUGGGAAUAUUGCACAAUGGGGGAAACCCUGAUGCAGCAACGCCGCGUGAGUGAUGAAGGCCUUCGGGUUGUAAAGCUCUGUCAUUGGGGACGAUAAUGACGGUACCCAAUGAGGAAGCCACGGCUAACUACGUGCCAGCAGCCGCGGUAAUACGUAGGUGGCAAGCGUUGUCCGGAUUUACUGGGCGUAAAGGAUGCGUAGGCGGAUUUUUAAGUGAGAUGUGAAAUUCCCGGGCUUAACUUGGGAACUGCAUUUCAAACUGGAAGUCUAGAGUGCGGGAGAGGUAAGUGGAAUUCCUAGUGUAGCGGUGAAAUGCGUAGAGAUUAGGAAGAACACCAGUGGCGAAGGCGACUUACUGGACCGUAACUGACGCUGAGGCAUGAAAGCGUGGGGAGCAAACAGGAUUAGAUACCCUGGUAGUCCACGCCGUAAACGA